GACGAACGCUGGCGGCGUGCCUAAUACAUGCAAGUUGAGCGCUGAAGGUUGGUACUUGUACCAACUGGAUGAGCAGCGAACGGGUGAGUAACGCGUGGGGAAUCUGCCUUUGAGCGGGGGACAACAUUUGGAAACGAAUGCUAAUACCGCAUAAAAACUUUAAACACAAGUUUUAAGUUUGAAAGAUGCAAUUGCAUCACUCAAAGAUGAUCCCGCGUUGUAUUAGCUAGUUGGUGAGGUAAAGGCUCACCAAGGCGAUGAUACAUAGCCGACCUGAGAGGGUGAUCGGCAACAUUGGGCCGGGGACACGGCCAAAACUCCUACGGGAGGCAGCAGUAGGGAAUUUUCGGCAAUGGAAGAAAGUCUGACCGAGCAACGCCGCGUGAGUGAAGAAGGUUUUCGGAUCGUAAAACUCUGUUGGUAGAGAAGAACGUUGGUGAGAGUGGAAAGCUCAUCAAGUGACGGUAACUACCCAGAAAGGGACGGCUAACUACGUG
rnacentral:rRNA from 1 species